AUAUUUGGUGCCACUGACCUUGCAUCAAAGGGACAGGGAGCCUCAGAUAGCAGUAAUGUGAAAAUUAAAGUGUGACGAUCCACGAUGCCAUGUGUGGCAGCACAUAAAUUGUGUUAUUGUUCCAGAAAAACCUAUGGAAGGUGUCCUGCCAGUACCUGAUAAAUUUUAUUGUGAACUCUGCAGACUCAGCCGUGCAGACCCGUUUUGGGUUUCAAUGGGACACCCCUUGUUUCC